rnacentral:misc_RNA from 1 species
GAAAUGCGAUAAGUAAUGUGAAUUGCAGAAUUCAGUGAAUCAUCGAAUCUUUGAACGCACCUUGCGCUCCUUGGUAUUCCUUGGAGCAUGCCUGUUUGAGUAUCAUGAAAUCUUCAAAGUAAAUCUUUUGUUAACUCAAUUGGUUUCUACUUUGGUAUUGGAGGUCUUUGCAGCUUCACACCUGCUCCUCUUUGUUCAUUAGCUGGAUCUCAGUGUUAUGCUUGGUUCCACUCGGCGUGAUAAGUUAUCUAUCGCCGAGGACACUGUAAAAGGUGGCCAAGGUAAAUGCAGAUGAACCGCUUCUAAUAGUCCAUUGACUUGGACAAUACUUUUAUGAUCUGAUCUCAAAUCAGGUAGGACUACCCGCUGAACUUAGGC